GACGAACGCUGGCGGCGUGCCUAAUACAUGCAAGUAGAACGGUGAAGGAGGAGCUUGCUUCUCUGGAUGAGUUGCGAACGGGUGAGUAACGCGUAGGUAACCUGCCUGGUAGCGGGGGAUAACUAUUGGAAACGAGAGCUAAUACCGCAUAAGAGUAGAUGUUGCAUGACAUUGGCUUAAAAGGUGCAAUUGCAUCACUACCAGAUGGACCUGCGUUGUAUUAGCUAGUUGGUGGGGUAACGGCUCACCAAGGCGACGAUACAUAGCCGACCUGAGAGGGGGAUCGGCCACACUGGGACUGAGACACGGCCCAGACUCCUACGGGAGGCAGCAGUAGGGAAUCUUCGGCAAUGGACGGAAGUCUGACCGAGCAACGCCGCGUGAGUGAAGAAGGUUUUCGGAUCGUAAAGCUCUGUUGUAAGAGAAGAACGAGUGUGAGAGUGGAAAGUUCACACUGUGACGGUAUCUUACCAGAAAGGGACGGCUAACUACGUG
rnacentral:rRNA from 1 species